CGGACGGGUGAGUAACGCGUGGGUAACCUGCCUUGCACUGGGGGAUAACACUUAGAAAUAGGUGCUAAUACCGCAUAAGCGCACGGUCCUGCAUGGGACAGUGUGAAAAACUCCGGUGGUGCAAGAUGGACCCGCGUCUGAUUAGCUGGUUGGCGGGGUAAAGGCCCACCAAGGCGACGAUCAGUAGCCGGCCUGAGAGGGUGGACGGCCACAUUGAGACUGAGACGCGGCCCAAACUCCUACGGGAGGCAGCAG
rnacentral:rRNA from 1 species